UAUUUAAUUCAUUUGCUAUAUUCCGUAUUUACAUUCAGUCGAAUCUCUGUUCUCUACUUUCACUUGUAGCAAUCAGCAACCCAAUCAUCUGGAAGAAGCUUUCCGAGUUCAAAAACUCAUAUCAUGAAAACGUUGGAUAAGAAGCAAGUCAAGACAACUGGAUAUGAGGGAUGAGCAUUAUUAAGUAAAACUCCAAGGAACUAAGGAUUCUGGCACGGUAUGCUACGCUGCGUUAGAGUAUGGGAUCAUCCACGUUUAGGGAUUGCGACUUUUACCCGAACGAGUCGCAAGUCUUAAACGGCGUUUAUUUUAAGUUUGUGGUUGUGUCUUUCAAACAAUGUUUUUAUUUGGUAGUGUUGUAUUUCCUUUACAUUUGUCAACGCAUUAAGACAAUGUUGUGUUACUUUUCAUUUUAAAACUUAAAUCAAUGGAUGAUUCUGCAUGGUUUUACUUU